UGGUAUUUACACUCACUUGCUCUGACCACUGAAACCACGUGUGGCUGCAUUGCUUCCUGACAGUUGUGAGUAGUGUGGUUAACACAAACCCAGGUCACAGGGAAUGGAGAACUAGUGCCCACAAGGGAAGGACUUCUAAUGACAUCUAAUAGAUUAUCUCACACAGAGCUGUUGGAAUUACUUCGUGAUGAUUUCAAAGAAAAUUUUCUUCUCUAACCACUCUUAUCCCAAGGUCCUUCUAGUGCCUUGUGGAGGAGAGAGCUCAUGUGUGUCCCUUUACUUUGGAGAAAUGUUUCAGAACAGCUCAGAGACCACAUAAGCAGCGUCCCAGGGUCCUGCAUGCUGAAUAUAUUCCAGAUAUGUAAGUAUUUUGGGUAUUUAAUGUUCACAUGUUGUGAGUUUCCAGGGAGCAUUGAGAAAAAGUCAAAAGAUCAUGCUAGUGUGUGGUUCAGUUCCUACAAGAGAAGCAAGAUGAAGUGGGCUGCUGAGAGCUCUAACCUGACACCAUAACGAGCGUCCAGCUUUAGGAGUUUUUCAGAAUGUGGAGACAUUAGUUUUUCUGCAGUUAGUACUCAAGUGAAUUUUUGGUUAAUGCAGGUGCUUCAGCCUGCCACAUACAUCCGCCUAGGAAAUUACGUAUGAGAGAAGAAAGACAACGAGACUCUUUAGGAAUUACAAAAUCGAGGUAAAGCAGUGGAGGGAUGAGAAGGAAUAAAACCCAUAGCCUGGGCAUGUUUGUCUCUUUAUCCCCAGAACUUAACGCAGGGCCUGGCUAACUGUGGAAUGUUACAUGGUUGAAAAGAAUUAUGGAAGACUGUGACUGACUAAGUUUAGAUAUUUGUCCCCUCCAAAUCUCAUGCUGAAAUUUGAUCCCCGUUGUUGGAGUGGGGGGCCCAGUAGUGGGAGGUGUUUGGGUUACGCGGGCAGAUCCCUCAUGAAUGGCUUAGCGCCAUCCUGCCAGUAAUGAGUUACAUUCUCACUCUGUUAGUUCCCAGGAGAUCUGAUUGUUGAAAAGAGCUUUGCACCUCCUCUUCUCUCUCGUGUUCCUUCUCUUGCCUUGUGGCACGACUGCUCCAUGACUGGAAGCUCCCUGAAGCCCUCAUCAGAAGCAGAUGAUGGCGUCACGCUUCUUAUAUAGACUGCAGAACCAGAAGACUGAACAGUAGCCUUUUGAAAUCUAUGCAAAGUGAAAAACAUCAGAACCUUCAACAUUGAGAAGAUAAGAGGUUUUCCUCCAGUUAAUUAAAGGAAUAAGAAUUAUGAACUUUAUACCCAUUUAAUUAUGUCAUUACGAUUUAAGAAAAAGAGAACUAUUCAGCUUUCAAACACAUGAAAGAAAAGCACAUUGAAACCAGCAACAUGGAGAACUGUUGCUCUCUCCCUGGGUCACAAUAACACCUUUACAGGUAGUGAGCACUAAGCACACUGCAGGCAUUAAACAUAUUUAAAUGAAGUAGUGUCUUUGAGAAAAGUAGGAGCCCAGGAGCUAAUUUUUAUUGGAAAAUGAUAGCUUCAGAUCUAGACCAGGAAGUGAAACUGAAGCACAGAAAGGCUGAGCAACUUGCUCAAAGGAGCACAAGACUAAGCAGAACUAGCAUCCAAAGCACAUUAUUGUGACUCUUCAUCACAAUGACCCUAAACUAUGAGAACAAAAUGGAACUUGGACCUGGAGGAAAAGUAAGAAAACAGAAUAAUGAGAAGAGCUCAAGGAUUUGAGAGAAGGUUUUGAACAUGGUGAUGGAUGAACAACACUUGUAGGAGAAAUGAAGAUACUUUCUCAUCCCUGGUUGACCCAAGUGUCUGGCGCCCAGUGAACGUGAUAAGAGAUAAUGGAGUUUGUGAAGGGUACACACGCAGUGAUAUUGUCACCUUUCUAAACAGAUGCCAUUGCAGACAUUUUGCUAGCCCUCUUUUCACUGUACACACAGCUUGGUAUACCUCGUGUAUUAACCCUCAAAUAUUCUAAGACAGGGCUGAGCAUAGGGUGUAAAAUUGAAUGAAUGGAAGAAGAUAAAUGCAGAGAGAAACAUUUAUUUAACCUCAGAAAGAUAGACACGCAGUAUAUUGGUGUAAUUGUAUAUUGAUAUAUACUAGUAUAUCUUCAAUUGGUCUAUGAGUAUAGAACUAUUGGACUAUUUUUUAUGUGAUUGUUCCUGCUUAGUUUUAGUAAAAUAUUCCAAUUUGAGGGAAAUUCUUCUUUGCCAAAAAGAUAUAAAAAAAGGAAAACUUUAAUACAUUUUUUUUUAUUUUGGCAUAUUAUGGGGGUUAGGGUUAGGGUUAGUGAUAUUAUAUUUAAUACAUUUUUAAUUCUUCCUCCAGAAUUCAUGCUAGUUUUUCUCUCUCGUUUCUUGGUAUUUCUUCUGUGCAAGUCAUUCUUAUAUACGUUUCCACUGUAUUUUUCAUGAAGAAGAUAUAGUGAUUACCAAAGAGAAGCAGACAACAUCAAAGUAGAACUUUAUUUUUCCCCAUGAAAUCCUUCUAGACUUGUUUACAUGUAAUAUCCUUGAAGGAAAGAGACAUGUCUGUAUUAUCUUUGUUGGCAUCUGGCACAUAUUAGGUACACAGUAUAUUUUUUGACUCUAUCAAUUAAUAAUAAAAAAUGGAUGAAGGAAGUAGAUGUUUUUGUGAGCCUUCCAAAGAAAUUUAUAGAAUAUUUUGGAAACAGGCCCAUUUUAUUUCCAAAGGAAAUUUUACUUUCAAAUAAAAAAAAUUCACCCAAAUGAGGUUUUGGGGGAUUUCAUACUCUUUACAUUAUCUUGUGGUAAUUAUACAGAAAUCUCUAUUUAUGUAAACACAGUAAAUGCAUCAUAACACUAGAAUAAGUGUACAAAUACUGCAUGUCAAAUUAGGUUAUAAUCACUUUCAAGGGACGUGAUUUCCUAGCUAAACAGAUUCGUUUACAUUUUGCAAAAUAAAAAAUAAGUGAAAAUAACUAUAUAAAAUCAGGCUUACAGCUGGACAGAUCUUCUUGGCAAUGGUCCAGACACUGAGCAAGGGAAGUCCCUCCAGCUGAGGAAUGCUCAGGACGCCUGUGCAGGGGUGGCCGGGAGAGGGGCCCUUUUGGGGGCUUCCUUGACUGUGCACCCUGUCCCUGGCUACCUUUCGGGAGAGACGCUGCAUUAACAUUUAAGA